AACGAACGCUGGCGGCAGGCCUAACACAUGCAAGUCGAGCGCCCCGCAAGGGGAGCGGCAGACGGGCGAGUAACGCGUGGGAAUCUACCUGAAGGUACGGAACAACUCCGGGAAACUGGAGCUAAUACCGUAUGUGCCCGAGAGGGGAAAGAUUUAUCGCCUUCAGAUGAGCCCGCGUCCGAUUAGCUAGUUGGUGAGGUAAUGGCUCACCAAGGCGACGAUCUGUAGCUGGUCUGAGAGGAUGAUCAGCCACACUGGGACUGAGACACGGCCCAGACUCCUACGGGAGGCAGCAGUGGGGAAUAUUGGACAAUGGGCGAAAGCCUGAUCCAGCCAUGCCGCGUGAGUGAUGAAGGCCUUAGGGUUGUAAAGCUCUUUCAGUGGGGAAGAUAAUGACGGUACCCACAGAAGAAGCCCCGGCUAACUUCGUGCCAGCCGCCGCCGUAACAC
rnacentral:rRNA from 1 species